rnacentral:rRNA from 1 species
UACGGGGGGAGCAAGCGUUGUUCGGAUUUACUGGGCGUAAAGGGCGCGUAGGCGGCCACCGCAAGUCGACUGUGAAAUCUCCGGGCUUAACUCGGAAAGGUCAGCCGAUACUGCGGGGCUAGAGUGCAGAAGGGGCAACUGGAAUUCUCGGUGUAGCGGUGAAAUGCGUAGAUAUCGAGAGGAACACCUGCGGCGAAGGCGGGUUGCUGGGCUGACACUGACGCUGAUCGUGCGAAAGCUAGGGGAGCGAACGGG